GUGACAAAAGGAUAGAGCUGGAAGAAAGUAUGUCUUUGCCUUUUGUACGUAACCCAGAGAAGGAAAAUGUUACCAUAAAACUGUGACCCAAACCCUGAAGAAAAUCAGAUGGUGGAUGAAAUCAGCAUGGUGUGGCAUUUAAAAUACUAGGUUCUUGAAAUUCAGCCUCUCGGCGGAGAUGAAGUCAUGUCAACAUACUUUCUUGACAUCACUUACUGCUUUCUAGUUAACUUGAAUUUAGGCUCCAUCUUGUGGCAACUGAGAGAGUUAUUGAAGGGGUACAAAAAAAGCAAAUCGCUGAGUAUUUUUAGAAAGCAGCUGAUGAGAGGUUCAACAGGGGGAAAAAAUGUGAAUAGUAGCCUGCAUAUAGGUUGGGGUUCACUAUAUAUGCAUGUUCCAAAUUCUUGAGUUUUUGAAUUUGAGAGACCUCACACAAUGAGGGGGGAAAUGAAACAAACAAACAAAAAGGGAUCUUGCCCUUAUUUUGUGUGUAAAUGGCCUUUAAGCGGCAAACACAAAGAAGAGCUGUAGAAGAAGCUAGCCUGACAGAUAGUUCAUCCACUUAACUAUUUGCGGGUGUAAGCACUUCACAUGGUCAUUUUCAUUGUGACGAAUGACCAGUAAAGACAUGUUACGCACACACUCAAAAUAACAUGUUGCAACUCCGUUUGCGGUGGCAAACUUUAGAUCGUUUCCAAAUUGGCUGGUUCUCCGUCACGUCACAAAGAGUCUGUAGCGCUACCAGCAUGUGUGUUGGAUUGAUUAUUUUUAGUCAUUCAAUAAACGAGGAUAACACAAACACUUCAAACAUUUGCCACUUUAUAGCAGAGCACAAUUUACAUUAACUGGCAUGUUCAUCUCUGUCGGUCAAAGGUAGCCAAUUUGUUGGCAUUUGUGUUCCCCCGCUUUUCACACAGAUAUCGUUCCUCCUCAACUACAGCUCUGAUACUCUCCCCCGUGGACAGAAAAUUCCUGUAUCAACUUCAUCCUACUAUUCCACGUCGUGCUGUUUGUACAGAACAACGGCAAAAACAAACAAAUAAAAAACAUCCGGCUUUUAAAAGCCAUGUCAAAGGAUUUACGGUUUGAAUGUACGGUGGCAAUGAACAUAGCCCAUUAGCAUCAGUAGGCUCCGGCAGUCUUCUUCCAUUUGGGGAGCAAAAUAAUGAACGAGCCUGAAAAGGUCAGAUACUCCACCACAAAUAUGAUAUUUUUCAUAUUUCGGUGACCUUUAGUCAGCCUACUGAUUAAUUUGUAAAACUCAUUUGAAUGACUCAAGCCAAUGGAGCAGCUGUGUUGAAUUCUUUGAAGCCCCAGAAAAUAGAGGGACUCUGUAAAUCCGACAUGGUUUCAUGCCAUGCCCGUCCGUCAAUUACAAGCGCAAGUCUUCACAUCAGGGCAUCUUGACGAUUUCCAUUUCAAAUCAACUGUGCUGGUUUAUCAAAGCAAAACGGAUAGAAACGCUGUCAAUGGAUGUUUUUUUUCUUUUU